GACGUAGGGGGCAAGCGUUGUCCGGAUUUACUGGGCGUAAAGGGCGCGUAGGCGGCCUGUUAAGUGUGAAGUGAAAUCUCCAGAGCUCAACUCGGAAACGGCUUUACAUACUGGCAGGCUUGAGGAAUGCAGAGGUGAAUAGAAUUCCUGGUGUAGCGGUGAAAUGCGUAGAUAUCAGGAGGAAUACCCAUGGCGAAGGCAGUUCACUGGGCAUUAUCUGACGCUGAGGCGCGAAAGCGUGGGGAGCAAA
rnacentral:rRNA from 1 species